rnacentral:lncRNA from 1 species
AUGGGAUUCAAUUUCGAUGACGCUCAGAAAUUGACGACGACCUGCGGAGCGGCGAGAAGACCUCAGGGUGCGGCUGACUCGGGUGUCCGUCAUCGCUCGAGCAGAUUGAAACUUUCACUUCAGCCAGGAGCCGUAAAAAUUGAUGCAAGCAUGUAAGUGGGAUAGGUGCCGGGCUCCUGGAGCCAUGGAGGGACCCGAGAGUGACGGUCGGGGCCGGCGACGCGUGACUCGUUAAUCAGAAGUCAACAAAAGAUGCACAUACGUGUAAUUAAGAGAGGCGCAGGCAUGGGGCGCCUUUCAUCUGCAGCGGUUCUUGGUUUCUUACCGCUGUCAUGAGUCGACGUCGUCGUCGUUGUUCUCGGGAUCGCCGCAGCGAGAGAGUAUCCGAGACGCGGUUAUAACGAUCUUUGCGAAAUUCUUUAACGCCUAAAUCCGUCUCCGAAUCCUUCGACUCCUGCACGCGGUUCGCGAAAAGCGCCAUUGACGCGGAAUAAAGAAUACUGUGUGUUUCUCCAAUUCUUUCAACCUCCGGCCCUCCGCCCCUUACGCCAUUAUUCUCGUGUUAAAAUAACGAAUGUGUACUUGCAGCACUCGCACGUCUCUUAGUGAGGGUGAGCUUCUGCAUGCACCGUGAGACUUGGAAGAGGUGCGUCACCUUCUUGGAGAUCCAUAAAUACAGCCUUGCUUCAUAAGGCGCCGAAGCUUCACAGCGCUUUGCAUCGCACGUUUCAUGCUAAACUUCCAAAACAUCAGUGCAGCUCGGAAGAGGUGAACAUGAAGAGACUUGGGUCAAGAUGAUGAACGCUGUGCGUCAGGCUUGAACGUCGUUCAGACCUUUUCCUAGGCGGCGGCAAAGGGGUUACGUUACUUGGUGCCGUAAAGAAAGGAUUCUCAUGGAUUUAACUGACCAAGAAAUGGACAGCUGGGAAAUGCGUUGAUAAGAUGCUCAAACGUCGAAUCAUGGGACGAAAAAUGGGACAGAAAUUCCUAAGGACGGAGGACGGCGGAGAAGACAAUAAGAAACCAUUGGUGUAGGGGAUAGUACAGAUUUGAGAUUAAAUUCGCACGUAUAUGAGUUCGGAGAGUAAUCAAUAUCAUGCAACACUUUGAAGAUUGUUUAUACUUGUAUAAUUUGUGAAACUGUAAUCAAGGAUGAAAUGAGUGCGGACAAGUAUAUACGGGAUUCAUUUAUUCAUUGCUUUGUAUGCAGGUUACAUAAAAUAAAAACAUUACAAUAUCAUGCAUAUCGUAUCCUGCAGCAAUACGUUGCACCUGGGUGUGAGGAAGAUCUUGAACUAUACUAACAGAUUACAAAAACAAGUAUCUCAUAUAACAACAUUCGAUUCUGCUUGAAGUAAGGUAUAUUACACUGUUUCCCGCUCACAUUAUCUUGGACUAAUACUUUGAAACUAUGUGAUCGGCAACUUAGUAAUGUAUAAUAUACUAACACCGCAACACUUGUACUAGAAUGA